AUUGAACGCUGGCGGCAUGCCUUACACAUGCAAGUCGAACGGUAACGGGCCUUCGGGUGCCGACGAGUGGCGAACGGGUGAGUAAUGUAUCGGAACGUACCUUUCAGUGGGGGAUAACGUAGCGAAAGUUACGCUAAUACCGCAUAUUCUGUGAGCAAGAAAGCAGGGGAUCGCAAGACCUUGCGCUGAUUGAGCGGCCGAUAUCAGAUUAGCUAGUUGGUGAGGUAAAGGCUCACCAAGGCGACGAUCUGUAGCGGGUCUGAGAGGAUGAUCCGCCACACUGGAACUGAGACACGGUCCAGACUCCUACGGGAGGCAGCAGUGGGGAAUUUUGGACAAUGGGGGCAACCCUGAUCCAGCCAUGCCGCGUGAGUGAAGAAGGCCUUCGGGUUGUAAAGCUCUUUCGGCCGGGAAGAAAUCGUAUCAGCUAAUACCUGGUGCGGAUGACGGUACCGGCGUAAGAAGCACCGGCUAACUACGUGCCAGCCGCCGCAGUAAGAC
rnacentral:rRNA from 1 species